GGAGAAUCUUGGGCAGGGAUUGUAUAUGUUAUAUCAUAUUCUGAGUAAAUCUUUUAUAUACGCAAGCUACUGAUUCUGCAUCUCGCUACAAUCAUUUCGAACAACAUCGAUCGAAAGUAAAAAGCUCUGAUAUGAAGUUUUAGCUUCGAUCAUAGAAAGAAAAAACAAAGUAAUUUUUAGCUUCUAUCAUAGAAAGAAAAAACAAAGUAAUUUGAUAAGGGGUAUAAUUAUUGCUUCUAACUAUAUUUCAUCAAAUAA
rnacentral:lncRNA from 1 species